rnacentral:rRNA from 1 species
UCGGGAAUUUUGUGCAAUGGGCGAAAGCCUGACACAGCAACGCCGCGUGAAGGAUGAAGUCCCUCGGGAUGUAAACUUCGUAAGAAUAGGAAGAAUAAAUGACGGUACUAUUUGUAAGGUCCGGCUAACUACGUGCCAGCAGCCGCGGUAAUACGUAGGGACCAAGCGUUGUUCGGAUUUACUGGGCGUAAAGGGUGCGUAGGCGGCAUAUCAAGUCACUUGUGAAAUCUCCGGGCUUAACUCGGAACUGCCAAGUGAUACUGAUGUGCUAGAGUGCAGAAAGGGCAACUGGAAUUCUUGGUGUAGCGGUGAAAUGCGUAGAUAUCAAGAGGAACACCUGAGGCGAAGGCGAGUUGCUAGGCUGACACUGACGCUGAGGUACGAAAGCUAGGGGAGCGAACGGGAUUAGAUACCCCAGUAGUCCCUGAGCGGGCUGGCAAGGCGCAU